rnacentral:rRNA from 1 species
UACGUAGGUGGCAAGCGUUGUCCGGAUUUACUGGGCGUAAAGGGCUCGUAGGCGGCCAACUAAGUCGGAUGUGAAAUCCCCAGGCUCAACUUGGGAACUGCAUCCGAUACUGGAUGGCUUGAAUCCGGGAGAGGGAUGCAGAAUUCCAGGUGUAGCGGUGAAAUGCGUAGAUAUCUGGAGGAAUACCGGUGGCGAAGGCGGCAUCCUGGACCGGCAUUGACGCUGAUGAGCGAAAGCUAGGGGAGCAAACGGG